GGGCUAUUAGCUCAGUGGUAGAGCGCGCCCCUGAUAAGUCCAGGAUGGCCCA
rnacentral:tRNA from 3 species